GCGCGGGUGACCGAGCCAGGCCAAAGGUGCAGCGCUUAGGACGCUGUCCCGUAGGGGUCCGCCGGUUCAAAUCCGGUCUCGCGCA
rnacentral:tRNA from 1 species